AAAGAUAUCUGGUUGAUCCUGCCUGAACUGAUGUGUUCAUUUCAAAGAUUAAGCCAUGCAUGUAUAAGUUUAAUCGUUUUAACGAGAAACCGCGAACGGCUCAUUACAAUGGCCAUGAUUUACUUGAUCUUGAUUAUCUAAAUGGAUAACUGUGGAAAAGCUAGAGCUAAUACAUGCACCAGAGCUUUGUCCUCUCGGAAAAGCGCAUUUAUUAGAACAAAACCACGCGGCUUCGGCUGCUUCUUGUUGACUCAGAAAAACUAAGCUGACCGCAUGGCCUUGUGCCGGCGGCGUGUCUUUCAAGCGUCCACUUUAUCAACUUGACGGGAGCAUAAUCGACUCCCGUGGUGGUGACGGAUAACGGAGGAUCAGGGUUCGACUCCGGAGAAGGGGCCUGAGAAAUGGCCACUACGUCUAAGGAUGGCAGCAGGCGCGCAAAUUACCCACUCUCGGCUCGAGGAGGUAGUGACGAGAAAUAACGAGACUGUUCUCUUUGAGGCCGGUCAUCGGAAUGGGUACAAUUUAAACCCUUUAACGAGUAUCAAGCAGAGGGCAAGUCUGGUGCCAGCAGCCGCGGUAAUUCCAGCUCUGCUAAUACAUAGAAUUAUUGCUGCGGUUAAAAAGCUCGUAGUUGGAUUCGUAUCGGUACCUUGGAACCCUUCGGGUGUUUCUGGGUGUUAUCGAUUUAUCGUAAUGUUCGGUUUUGAGUCCUUAACAGGAUUUUUAACAGUCAUUGCAAGUUUACUUUGAACAAAUCAGAGUGCUUCAAACAGGCGUUUUCGCUUGAAUGAUCGUGCAUGGAAUAAUAGAAAACGAUUUCGGUUCAGUUUUAUUGGUUUUACGGACUGAGAUAAUGGUUAACAAUAGACAAACGGGGGCAUUUGUAUGGCCCCGUGAGAGGUGAAAUUCUUGGACCGUGGCCAGACAAACUACAGCGAAAGCAUUUGCCAAGAAUGUCUUCAUUAAUCAAGAACGAAAGUCAGAGGUUCGAAGGCGAUCAGAUACCGCCCUAGUUCUGACCGUAAACGAUGCCAACUAGCGAUCCGCUGAUGGAAAUUAUAUUGCCUUGGUGGGGAGCUUCCCGGAAACGAAAGUCUUCCGGUUCCGGGGGAAGUAUGGUUGCAAAGCUGAAACUUAAAGGAAUUGACGGAAGGGCACCACCAGGAGUGGAGCCUGCGGCUUAAUUUGACUCAACACGGGGAAACUCACCCGGCCCGGACACUGUGAGGAUUGACAGAUUGAUAGCUUUUUCAUGAUUCAGUGGAUGGUGGUGCAUGGCCGUUCUUAGUUCGUGGAGUGAUUUGUCUGGUUUAUUCCGAUAACGAGCGAGACUCUAACCUACUAAAUAGUUGGUACAUACUCUUUGUGUAUACAGCUUCUUAGAGGGAUUUGCGGCGUUCAGCCGAAAGAAAUUGAGCAAUAACAGGUCUGUGAUGCCCUUAGAUGUCCGGGGCUGCACGCGCGCUACACUGGCAAAAUCAACGUGCUUGUCCUACCCUGAAAGGGGCGGGUAAACCAUUGAAAAUUUGCCGUGAUUGGGAUCGGAAAUUGCAAUUAUUUUCCGUGAACGAGGAAUUCCAAGUAAGUGCGAGUCAUCAGCUCGCGUUGAUUACGUCCCUGCCCUUUGUACACACCGCCCGUCGCUGCCCGGGACUGAGCCAUUUCGAGAAAUUUGGGGACCGUUGAUUUAAUUUAUCUAAAUUAUUUUGAUGGAAACCAAUUUAAUCGCAGUGGCUUGAACCGGGCAAAAGUCGUAACAAGGUAGCUGUAGGUGAACCUGCUGCUGGAUCAUUACUUUA